rnacentral:rRNA from 1 species
CCGCGUGUGUGAAGAAGGCCUUCGGGUUGUAAAGCACUUUCAGUUGUGAGGAAAAGUUAGUAGUUAAUACCUGCUAGCCGUGACGUUAACAACAGAAGAAGCACCGGCUAACUCCGUGCCAGCAGCCGCGGUAAUACGGAGGGUGCGAGCGUUAAUCGGAAUUACUGGGCGUAAAGCGCACGCAGGCGGUUUGUUAAGCUAGAUGUGAAAGCCCCGGGCUCAACCUGGGAUGGUCAUUUAGAACUGGCAGACUAGAGUCUUGGAGAGGGGAGUGGAAUUCCAGGUGUAGCGGUGAAAUGCGUAGAUAUCUGGAGGAACAUCAGUGGCGAAGGCGACUCCCUGGCCAAAGACUGACGCUCAUGUGCGAAAGUGUGGGUAGCGAACAGGAUUAGAUACCCUGGUAGUCCACACCGUAAACGCUGUCUACUAGCUGUGUGUGUCUUUAAGACGUGCGUAGCGAAGCUAACGCGCUAAGUAGACCGCCUGGGGAGUACGGCCGCAAGGUUAAAA